UAAUGCCAACUUGCAUCAGCAACGUCACCUGUCUUCAAACACGGGUACUUAUUGAUUUGCUCUCGUAAUAAAUUUCAAUG